UUCUCCUGUUUUAAAGGUCGCUAGUGUACGCAGAUUUGUGAAGGCCUGCAGUUAGCAGAAUGAGUCUGUGAUGAUUGAAAAGAACCGUCUCACUGACCCAGCCACUGAUAGAAGCCGCUCAUUUCCCCUGAAGUAACCUGUUGUUUUCUUUGCUCUGAAGAUGCCGGUUUCAGUGUCUGCGAUAUUACAUCCUUGAGUCUUGCUAGGCUUGAAACUGAGUGCUUCGAGCAAGUGGAUACCUUUCCUUCUUCUGGAAGGCAGGGCAACAGUGAGAUUACGCCAGAACAUUACCCUUUCUGCCAGGCUGCAUCAUAGCACUGAGAGGCAGCUGGUCAAGUGAACAAAACACGGCUAAUCAUGGAGGAGCUGGAUUAAACAUUUGCUUUAUCUUUUUAUAUCUUGACACCACAAUAUGGAGAUAGGUUACUUCCUUACACGACUCGCCACCUGCUUUGUCAUUGUUGCUUUCCUUGACUACCUUCUCCAAGAGAUUACAGACUUCGUGAGGACCGUUUUCCUCAUCAUUGCAUCCUUCAUACAAUAAAACAUUUUGGAAGAAAUGAAUAGAGAAAGUCAAUGCAGAAAGGUCUUCUGUUCUGUAUUAUAAGAAUAGUGAAUUCUUAUCAGGUUAAUAAAAUGUGGGUUGAAUUGCU